GGAAUUUUGCACAAUGGGGGAAACCCUGAUGCAGCGACGCCGUGUGGGUGACGAAGGCCUUCGGGUUGUAAGGCCCUUUGAGUCAAGACGAACACAAUGCCGGUACUGACAGAAAAAGAACCGGCUAACUCCGUGCCAGCAGCCGCGGUAAUACGGAGGGUGCAAGCGUUACUCGGAUUUACUGGGCGUAAAGCGCAUGUAGGCGGUUGAUUAAGUCUGUUGUGAAAUCCCUGGGCUCAACCCAGGAAGUGCAGUGGAUACUGAUCAACUAGAAUUCAGGAGAGGAGAGUGGAAUUCCUGGUGUAGAGGUGAAAUUCGUAGAUAUCAGGAGGAACACCAGUGGCGAAGGCGGCUCUCUGGACUGACAUUGACGCUGAGAUGCGAAAGCGUGGGUAGCAAA
rnacentral:rRNA from 1 species